GUCUAUCAGUUGCUACGGGGCUUGACCUCAACAAUCCAACCUGCUCGAGAUAGCUUCAAUGGUGUAGUACUGCUGAAUACACUGGGCACAAUUUACGGUGCAAAUUAGAAUACCAGCACAGUUGCUGAGAUCAAAAUAAACAAGAAAAGAACUAACCUCGUGGCAAAAAAAGCAUGAAAUCACGUUGAUCAGCAAUAUUUUCGAGUCACAAAAUUUUCAUUGCCAGGUUUCACUCUCUGGGUUGUAAGCGUACAAUAGAUUCCAUCUCUUCGCUGUGAGGGAACGAAACUGCGGUCCAGUCCCAGACCCAGUUUCAUCGUAAAACCUCAAAAAAUAAGAUGGCAUUUCUCACAAUUUUUUAGUCUUCUAACAAACACGCUUCAAUGCAUGAACU
rnacentral:lncRNA from 1 species